rnacentral:rRNA from 1 species
CUGCACUCCUGCGACGUUUACACAAGAAUUUCAGGGGGUUCCGUACUCGCCUACUACUCGCGACCCGUAGGUUCAGUGAGUGUGUGGUGGGGUGCUCGGCCGUUUUGAUCGAUCCUUGCAGCAGGCCGGCGGAGCAAGAUGAGAGGCCCGCGUUAGGUCUCUUAUACAGCCUUCUUGACCGCUAGGACCCUGCUUGAUCCCAUGCACCUCUAAGCAGC